rnacentral:rRNA from 1 species
GCGGACGGGUGAGUAACACGUGGAUAACCUACCUAUAAGACUGGGAUAACUUCGGGAAACCGGAGCUAAUACCGGAUAAUAUAUUGAACCGCAUGGUUCAAUAGUGAAAGACGGUUUUGCUGUCACUUAUAGAUGGAUCCGCGCCGCAUUAGCUAGUUGGUAAGGUAACGGCUUACCAAGGCAACGAUGCGUAGCCGACCUGAGAGGGUGAUCGGCCACGCUGGAACUGAGACACGGUCCAG